rnacentral:rRNA from 1 species
UACAGAGGGUGCGAGCGUUGUUCGGAAUUAUUGGGCGUAAAGGGCGCGUAGGCGGUGCGGUAAGUCACCUGUGAAAUCUCCUGGCUCAACUGGGAGCUUGCAGGCGAAACUGCCGUGCUGGAGUGUGGGAGAGGUGCGUGGAAUUCCUGGUGUAGCGGUGAAAUGCGUAGAUAUCGGAAAGAACACCAACGGCGAAAGCACUCUGCUGGGCCGACACUGACACUGAGAGACGAAAGCUAGGGGAGCGAAUGGG